CAGGACUGUGCUUUUUGCUUGAAUUCAGUGGAAGAGAGAAAAGCCAGGGUUUACACAUAGGACUGUAUGGUUUUUUAGGUGCAGGAUUCUUGUUUUGAAAGACAAUGGUCCUUUCCAUCAAGGACCCACCAAGGAUGGAGAAGGACAGAGACCACAUGGCUGCGAGGAUAUUAGACCUCACCCUGGAGAUCAUCUCCUUGAUAACUGGAGAGGAUUACACAGUAGUGAAGAAGUCAUCUGGUGAGUGUGUGACACCCCGUG